UUGGGGUGACGUUACGCGUUUGCAAGCGGACAUGUAAGCCCGAAAGUUGGGUUUCGGUCGUGAGCCAUUCGGAACACGUCUGCAUCGAAACGGGAGCUGGAUUUUGCUGCGGCUGACAACGGCAAUAACGACAUGCAGUAAUGAGGACGGCACCAGUAUAAAGCAACACACUCCACGCACUAAACAGAAGCUGCUGCCUGCUACAACAAGGUCGUUGUGUGGACGUUGGCUACUACUACAAGAGUCUAUGCCAAGCACAUAAGCUUGGUCAUCACAGGAGCUCCUAUCUGCACCAACAGGAAGGGGCUGGAGCCGAAUUUGCAAGGCUUUUACACCACAAACAAAGAAGCGCAUGCAGAAAAAUAUGGAUGAGAUAUCAAGUCUGCAGAGGACUGUGUUAAGACUGAAAAGAGCUUCAGCCACCAUUCCACCAGCACGGACAUUUGGCUGAGUCAUCCAGGUAACUCAAAAAGGACUUUCUAGAAAUUCUUCGUCUUCAGAUGCACCUGCAACAUCCGGCCAAGCACGGACGACGCUGGCCAAAAGAGUGAAUUCCAUCAGUUUGCCCUUAAUCAGCUUCCUAGCCAUGUCAAUUCCGUUUGUGCCAUGUGUAAUUUUUCUUCUAUAAAUGCAAGCUUUUUCUUUGCCCAUUUUUGUUAGAGUUCUUUCAUCCUCAUCCAAACAUAAAGAUCAACCGAUUCUUCGGUGAUACUUAAUACCAGUCACUGUCUAGUAGCCUAACAUAUCUGUAGCAGUAUCUUCUAGUGUAUGUUGUCAUGCUCUCCUGAAAUAACUGAUGCAGCAUCUGCAUGUGUCUUGCAUUAAUUAACCUAUGCACUAUGUGCUAUGCACCAUUUUACUUUUCUUGAUGUUUUUAGCCUUCAAAGCCUGCAGAGCACAGUGGCUUCUCUCUUGAAUGCAAGCUUUCUCAUUUUCCAUAUUCCUAGUCUCGUUGAUGAUUGCUCUUCUUCCUCGAUAGCCUGGGUCUUUGCGCAAGCUACACUGAAGUGAUUGAUUACAGAAUCUGGUUUUGCUGCCCCACUUGGUUGUGGUAACUGUGUUACGUUUCUCGGAUGUGGGUGCCUGGUCAGUUGCAUUGGUAAGCAGUCCCUCGAGGUAAGCAUUUGCUCCUGCAGUCGGCAAAACGACAUAGACUCCCAGUAUACACACACCGUAACCGGUGCUCCCCAUUCGUUCUUGCCUGCUGCAGCCAUGGGAAAAUUGUGCUUGUGGCCUACCUCCGCCAUGAUUUGCUUAAAACGGAGACCAGCAUAUGUGCUUACAUGGUUCGAAGUGUAUGAAGUUGAUAGCCGUAU